rnacentral:misc_RNA from 1 species
AGUUGCUAGUCAAGCCACUAUAUCUGCAACAUUUUCAAUAAUCAAGCAGGCUCUUGCUCAUGGCUGCUUUCCAAGAGUUAAAGUUGUUCAUACCUCAAAGAAUUUCCUUGGUCAGAUUUAUGUUCCAGAUAUUAACUGGAUCCUCAUGAUUCUUUGUAUUGCUGUGACCGCAGGAUUUAAGAAUCAAAGUCAAAUUGGAAAUGCUUAUGGGACAGCGGUUGUGGUAGUCAUGCUUGUGACCACACUGCUCAUGAUUCUAAUCAUGAUCUUGGUGUGGCGCUGUCAUUGGAUCAUUGCCAUGAUUUUCACUGGACUGUCGCUUGUCGUGGAGUGCAGUUACUUUUCUGCUGU